UACGUAGGGUGCAAGCGUUGUCCGGAAUUAUUGGGCGUAAAGAGCUCGUAGGCGGUUUGUCGCGUCUGCUGUGAAAACUGGGGGCUCAACCCCCAGCCUGCAGUGGGUACGGGCAGACUAGAGUGCGGUAGGGGAGAUUGGAAUUCCUGGUGUAGCGGUGGAAUGCGCAGAUAUCAGGAGGAACACCGAUGGCGAAGGCAGAUCUCUGGGCCGUAACUGACGCUGAGACGCGAAAGCGUGGGGAGCGAACAGG
rnacentral:rRNA from 1 species